CGAGGCAGUACAGAGUGCACUGAGGUAGUACAGGGUGCAUCGAGGUAGUACAGGGUGCACUGAGGUAGUACAGGGUGCAUCGAGGUAGUACAGGGAGCACUGAGGUAGUACAGGGUGCAUCGAGGUAGUACAGGGUGCACUGAGGUAGUACAGGGUGCAUCGAGGUAGUACAGGGUGCACUGAGGUAGUACAGGGUGCAUCGAGGUAGUACAGGGUGCACUGAGGUAGUACAGGGUGCAUCGAGGUAGUACAGGGUGCACUGAGGUAGUACAGGGUGCACUGAGGUAGUACAGGGUGCAUCGAGGUAGUACAGGGUGCACUGAGGUAGUACAGGGUGCAUCGAGGUAGUACAGGGUGCACUG